UGAGCAAAUAAACUUCGAGGGAAUUG
rnacentral:piRNA from 1 species